rnacentral:rRNA from 1 species
UUCGGUUCCUAAGGCGAGGCUGAAAAGCGUAGUCGAUGGGAAACAGGUUAAUAUUCCUGUACUUCUGGUUACUGCGAUGGAGGGACGGAGAAGGCUAGGCCAGCUUGGCGUUGGUUGUCCAAGUUUAAGGUGGUAGGCUGAAAUCUUAGGUAAAUCCGGGGUUUCAAGGCCGAGAGCUGAUGACGAGUCGUCUUUUAGAUGACGAAGUGGUUGAUGCCAUGCUUCCAAGAAAAGCUUCUAAGCUUCAGGUAACCAGGAACCGUACCCCAAACCGACACAGGUGGUCGGGUAGAGAAUACCAAGGCGCUUGAGAGAACUCGGGUGAAGGAACUAGGCAAAAUGGCACCGUAACUUCGGGAGAAGGUGCGCCGGCUAGGGUGAAGGAUUUACUCCGUAAGCUCUGGCUGGUCGAAGAUACCAGGCCGCUGCGACUGUUUAUUAAAAACACAGCACUCUGCAAACACGAAAGUGGACGUAUAGGGUGUGACGCCUCCCCGGUGCCGGAAGGUUGAUUGAUGGGGUUAGCGCAAGCGAAGCUCUUGAUCGAAGCCCCGGUAAACGGCGGCCGUAACAAUAACGGUCCUAAGGUAGCGAAAUUCCUUGUCGGGUAAGUUCCGACCUGCACGAAUGGCGUAACGAUGGCGGCGCUGUCUCCACCCGAGACUCAGUGAAAUUGAAAUCGCUGUGAAGAUGCAGUGUAUCCGCGGCUAGACGGAAAGACCCCGUGAACCUUUACUGUAGCUUUGCACUGGACUUUGAGCCUGCUUGUGUAGGAUAGGUGGGAGGCUUUGAAGCGUGGACGCCAGUUCGCGUGGAGCCAUCCUUGAAAUACCACCCUGGCAUGCUUGAGGUUCUAACUCUGGUCCGUAAUCCGGAUCGAGGACAGUGUAUGGUGGGCAGUUUGACUGGGGCGGUCUCCUCCUAAAGAGUAACGGAGGAGUACGAAGGUGCGCUCAGACCGGUCGGAAAUCGGUCGCAGAGUAUAAAGGCAAAAGCGCGCUUGACUGCGAGACAGACACGUCGAGCAGGUACGAAAGUAGGUCUUAGUGAUCCGGUGGUUCUGUAUGGAAGGGCCAUCGCUCAACGGAUAAAAGGUACUCCGGGGAUAACAGGCUGAUACCGCCCAAGAGUUCAUAUCGACGGCGGUGUUUGGCACCUCGAUGUCGGCUCAUCACAUCCUGGGGCUGAAGCCGGUCCCAAGGGUAUGGCUGUUCGCCAUUUAAAGUGGUACGCGAGCUGGGUUUAGAACGUCGUGAGACAGUUCGGUCCCUAUCUGCCGUGGACGUUUGAGAUUUGAGAGGGGCUGCUCCUAGUACGAGAGGACCGGAGUGGACGAACCUCUGGUGUUCCGGUUGUCACGCCAGUGGCAUUGCCGGGUAGCUAUGUUCGGAAAAGAUAACCGCUGAAAGCAUCUAAGCGGGAAACUUGCCUCAAGAUGAGAUCUCACUGGGAACUUGAUUCCCCUGAAGGGCCGUCGAAGACUACGACGUUGAUAGGCUGGGUGUGUAAGCGUUGUGAGGCGUUGAGCUAACCGGUACUAAUUGCCCGUGAGGCUUGACC